rnacentral:lncRNA from 1 species
AUCAUGCAAUUGUAAUACUCAUUUUGUGUUUUCAUUCUUAAUCUAUCAACCUCUUUGUACUGAAAUGUGUUUCUUGCUCAAAGGAACUUCAACAAGCUAAGUAUCAUCGUUUCAAAUUCUCAUUUUUUUGCGUUAUGAGUUUAUUUUAAAGAUUACAUAAAUUCAUUAGUGUGUGUUUCUAUAUAUAUAUAUAGUUACAUUCCUAAGCAUGCGACUCAAUGUUUAAGAAAUUGAUAUACAUAGGUAUGAGAUAAUUGUCUUUCAUUUAAGUUUGUAAAUUAUAAUUGUUUGAUUGCUCUUAUGAUCUUAUAAGACAUCAUAUCUAAUAACUUUUUUAAUUAUCUCUAUCUUUUUUCAGGUUGAAAAUUGUCAUUUAGUGUUUUGUUCCACAUUUGCAAGCUUUAAGUAAUUGUUAGAAUAUUGUAUUUAUUUUCAACUUUCAAAUCUAUUUAUCUAUCUUCUAUCUAUUAAGCAAGCAUUAUGAUGAUUUGACACCUCUAAAAAAUUUCAUGCAACUUCUUAUUCUAGGUGAAUAAAUAAAUAAUAUAACUUUUACAAUUCUACAACUUUCU